rnacentral:tRNA from 1 species
GCCUUCGUGGUGUAAUGGUCAGCACACUCGGCGCGUAUUCGAGAGGUCCAAGGUUCGAUUCCCGGCGAGAGCA